GACGAACGCUGGCGGCGUGCUUAACGCAUGCAAGUCGAACGGAAAGGCCCUGCUUUUGUGGGGUUCUCGAUUGGCGAACGGGUGAGUAACACGUGUGUAACCUGCCCUUGACUUUGGUAUAACUUCAGGAAACUGGGGCUAAUAUCGGAUAGCAUCUCCUGCUCCAUGGUGGGGGUUGGAUAGUUUCGGCGGUUGGGGAUGGACUCGCGGCUUACCAGCUUGUUGGUGGGGUAGUGGCUGACCAAGGCUUUGACGGGUAGCCGGCCUGGGAGGGUGACCGGCGACAUUGGGACUGAGAGACGGAGCAGACUGCUACGGGAGGCAGCAGUGGGGAAUAUUGCACAGUGGGCGGAAGCCUGAUGCAGAAGCGCCGCGUGCGGGAUGACGGCUUUCGGGUUGUAAACAGCUUUCGCCUGUGACGAAGCGGGAGUGACGGUAAUGGGUAAAGAAGCACCGGCUAACUACGUG
rnacentral:rRNA from 1 species